CCGAUGCAAACUGCGAAUACCGGAGAAUGUUAUCACGGGAGACACACGGCGGGUGCUAACGUCCGUCGUGAAGAGGGAAACAACCCAGACCGCCAGCUAAGGUCCCAAAGUCAUGGUUAAGUGGGAAACGAUGUGGGAAGGCCCAGACAGCCAGGAUGUUGGCUUAGAAGCAGCCAUCAUUUAAAGAAAGCGUAAUAGCUCACUGGUCGAGUCGGCCUGCGCGGAAGAUGUAACGGGGCUAAACCAUGCACCGAAGCUGCGGCAGCGACGCUGAUGCGUUGUUGGGUAGGGGAGCGUUCUGUAAGCCUGCGAAGGUGUGCUGUGAGGCAUGCUGGAGGUAUCAGAAGUGCGAAUGCUGACAUAAGUAACGAUAAAGCGGGUGAAAAGCCCGCUCGCCGGAAGACCAAGGGUUCCUGUCCAACGUUAAUCGGGGCAGGGUGAGUCGACCCCUAAGGCGAGGCCGAAAGGCGUAGUCGAUGGGAAACAGGUUAAUAUUCCUGUACUUGGUGUUACUGCGAAGGGGGGACGGAGAAGGCUAUGUUGGCCGGGCGACGGUUGUCCCGGUUUAAGCGUGUAGGCUGGUUUUCCAGGCAAAUCCGGAAAAUCAAGGCUGAGGCGUGAUGACGAGGCACUACGGUGCUGAAGCAACAAAUGCCCUGCUUCCAGGAAAAGCCUCUAAGCAUCAGGUAACAUCAAAUCGUACCCCAAACCGACACAGGUGGUCAGGUAGAGAAUACCAAGGCGCUUGAGAGAACUCGGGUGAAGGAACUAGGCAAAAUGGUGCCGUAACUUCGGGAGAAGGCACGCUGAUAUGUAGGUGAAGUCCC
rnacentral:rRNA from 1 species